rnacentral:rRNA from 1 species
GGGUUGUGAGGUUAAGCGACUAAGCGUACACGGUGGAUGCCCUGGCAGUCAGAGGCGAUGAAGGACGUGCUAAUCUGCGAAAAGCGUCGGUAAGGUGAUAUGAACCGUUAUAACCGGCGGUGUCCGAAUGGGGAAACCCAGUGCAAUUCGUUGCACUAUCGUUAACUGAAUACAUAGGUUAACGAGGCGAACCGGGGGAACUGAAACAUCUAAGUACCCCGAGGAAAAGAAAUCAACCGAGAUUCCCCCAGUAGCGGCGAGCGAACGGGGAGCAGCCCAGAGUCUGAAUCAGCUUGUGUGUUAGUGGAACGGUCUGGAAAGUCCGACGGUACAGGGUGAUAGUCCCGUACACCAAAAUGCACAGGCUGUGAACUCGAAGAGUAGGGCGGGACACGUGGUAUCCUGUCUGAAUAUGGGGGGACCAUCCUCCAAGGCUAAAUACUCCUGACUGACCGAUAGUGAACCAGUACCGUGAGGGAAAGGCGAAAAGAACCCCGGCGAGGGGAGUGAAAAAGAACCUGAAACCGUGUACGUACAAGCAGUGGGAGCACCUUCGGGUGUGACUGCGUACCUUUUGUAUAAUGGGUCAGCGACUUAUAUUCUGUAGCAAGGUUAACCGUAUAGGGGAGCCGCAGGGAAACCGAGUCUUAACUGGGCGUUAAGUUGCAGGGUAUAGACCCGAAACCCGGUGAUCUAGCCAUGGGCAGGUUGAAGGUUGGGUAACACUAACUGGAGGACCGAACCGACUAAUGUUGAAAAAUUAGCGGAUGACUUGUGGCUGGGGGUGAAAGGCCAAUCAAACCGGGAGAUAGCUGGUUCUCCCCGAAAGCUAUUUAGGUAGCGCCUCGUGAAUUCAUCUUCGGGGGUAGAGCACUGUUUCGGCUAGGGGGUCAUCCCGACUUACCAACCCGAUGCAAACUACGAAUACCGAAGAAUGUUAUCACGGGAGACACACGGCGGGUGCUAACGUCCGUCGUGAAGAGGGAAACAACCCAGACCGCCAGCUAAGGUCCCAAAGUCAUGGUUAAGUGGGAAACGAUGUGGGAAGGCACAGACAGCCAGGAUGUUGGCUUAGAAGCAGCCAUCAUUUAAAGAAAGCGUAAUAGCUCACUGGUCGAGUCGGCCUGCGCGGAAGAUGUAACGGGGCUAAACCAUGCACCGAAGCUGCGGCAGCGACACUAUGUGUUGUUGGGUAGGGGAGCGUUCUGUAAGCCUGCGAAGGUGUGCUGUGAGGCAUGCUGGAGGUAUCAGAAGUGCGAAUGCUGACAUAAGUAACGAUAAAGCGGGUGAAAAGCCCGCUCGCCGGAAGACCAAGGGUUCCUGUCCAACGUUAAUCGGGGCAGGGUGAGUCGACCCCUAAGGCGAGGCCGAAAGGCGUAGUCGAUGGGAAACAGGUUAAUAUUCCUGUACUUGGUGUUACUGCGAAGGGGGGACGGAGAAGGCUAUGUUAGCCGGGCGACGGUUGUCCCGGUUUAAGCAUGUAGGCUGGUUGUCCAGGCAAAUCCGGAUAAUCAAGGCUGAGGUGUGAUGACGAGGCACUACGGUGCUGAAGUAACAAAUGCCCUGCUUCCAGGAAAAGCCUCUAAGCAUCAGGUAACAUCAAAUCGUACCCCAAACCGACACAGGUGGUCAGGUAGAGAAUACCAAGGCGCUUGAGAGAACUCGGGUGAAGGAACUAGGCAAAAUGGUGCCGUAACUUCGGGAGAAGGCACGCUGGUGUGUAGGUGAAGUCCCUGCGGAUGGAGCUGAGACCAGUCGAAGAUACCAGCUGGCUGCAACUGUUUAUUAAAAACACAGCACUGUGCAAACACGAAAGUGGACGUAUACGGUGUGACGCCUGCCCGGUGCCGGAAGGUUAAUUGAUGGGGUUAUCCGUAAGGAGAAGCUCUUGAUCGAAGCCCCGGUAAACGGCGGCCGUAACUAUAACGGUCCUAAGGUAGCGAAAUUCCUUGUCGGGUAAGUUCCGACCUGCACGAAUGGCGUAAUGAUGGCCAGGCUGUCUCCACCCGAGACUCAGUGAAAUUGAACUCGCUGUGAAGAUGCAGUGUACCCGCGGCAAGACGGAAAGACCCCGUGAACCUUUACUAUAGCUUGACACUGAACAUUGAGCCUUGAUGUGUAGGAUAGGUGGGAGGCUUUGAAGCGUGGACGCCAGUCUGCGUGGAGCCAACCUUGAAAUACCACCCUUUAAUGUUUGAUGUUCUAACGUUGGCCCCUGACCGGGGUUGCGGACAGUGUCUGGUGGGUAGUUUGACUGGGGCGGUCUCCUCCCAAAGCGUAACGGAGGAGCACGAAGGUUAGCUAAUCCUGGUCGGACAUCAGGAGGUUAGUGCAAUGGCAUAAGCUAGCUUGACUGCGAGCGUGACGGCGCGAGCAGGUGCGAAAGCAGGUCAUAGUGAUCCGGUGGUUCUGAAUGGAAGGGCCAUCGCUCAACGGAUAAAAGGUACUCCGGGGAUAACAGGCUGAUACCGCCCAAGAGUUCAUAUCGACGGCGGUGUUUGGCACCUCGAUGUCGGCUCAUCACAUCCUGGGGCUGAAGUAGGUCCCAAGGGUAUGGCUGUUCGCCAUUUAAAGUGGUACGCGAGCUGGGUUUAGAACGUCGUGAGACAGUUCGGUCCCUAUCUGCCGUGGGCGCUGGAGAAUUGAGGGGGGCUGCUCCUAGUACGAGAGGACCGGAGUGGACGCAUCACUGGUGUUCGGGUUGUCAUGCCAAUGGCACUGCCCGGUAGCUAAAUGCGGAAGAGAUAAGUGCUGAAAGCAUCUAAGCACGAAACUUGCCCCGAGAUGAGUUCUCCCUGAGACUUUAAGUCUCCUGAAGGAACGUUGAAGACGACGACGUUGAUAGGCCGGGUGUGUAAGCGCAGCGAUGCGUUGAGCUAACCGGUACUAAUGAACCGUGAGGCUUAACCUUACAACGCCGAAG